rnacentral:rRNA from 1 species
UACGAAGGGGGCUAGCGUUGCUCGGAAUCACUGGGCGUAAAGGGUGCGUAGGCGGGUCUUUUAAGUCAGGGGGUGAAAUCCUGGAGCUCAACUCCAGAACUGCCUUUGAUACUGAAGAUCUUGAGUACGGGAGAGGUGAGUGGAACUGCGAGUGUAGAGGUGAAAUUCGUAGAUAUUCGCAAGAACACCAGUGGCGAAGGCGGCUCACUGGCCCGUAACUGACGCUGAGGCACGAAAGCGUGGGGAGCAAACAGGG